rnacentral:lncRNA from 1 species
AAGUUAUGGUGUCCGCUUAGGUGAAAGUGGCACCUAAAACUGCCAUCCUGAGUAAAGCUUGGCUUCUAACACCAUACAGAUGUCUCUUCAUUGGUUUUGCUGCUCCUCCUCACGGUGGAUGCUUUGUCAACCAGAGAAGCAAUGGGUCCACUAACGUCAGAUUAAGCCAGGCACAUACAGCACACAAGGAGAUUUCACCAGCGGACACUGGCUCAGAUACCAGACUAGAGAUCUGAGAAGAUACCGAAGGCCGGAGGUAGAAUUAAAGGAAGGAAUGAAUGUCUGGAAUCCAUCACGACUAUAGUCUUACACUGGCUCCUAUCCAUCAAGAAUAGGACAAGAACAGUGCUAUGGAUCACGUUGAAAGUUCUGCUGCAGGAGUUUGGGGACCGAGGUGGGGGGCACUCCUGUUCUAAGAUUGCUCAGGUUAUAACCCUUAUUAAAUAAAAAAAAAACAGCAACG